rnacentral:rRNA from 1 species
UACGUAGGGUGCGAGCGUUAAUCGGAAUUACUGGGCGUAAAGCGUGCGCAGGCGGCGCGUUAAGACAGGUGUGAAAGCCCCGAGCUUAACUUGGGAAUUGCGCUUGUGACUGGCGUGCUGGAGUGUGGCAGAGGGAGGUGGAAUUCCACGUGUAGCAGUGAAAUGCGUAGAGAUGUGGAGGAAUACCGGUGGCGAAGGCGGCAUCCUGGACCGGCAUUGACGCUGAACAGCGAAAGCUAGGGGAGCAAACGGG